AAUCACUUGUCUUUUAAAUGAAGACCCGUAUGAAUGGCAAGACGAGGGCUUAACUCGUCUCCCCCCCCCAGUCAAUGAAAUUGAUCUUUCCGUGCAGAAGCGGAAAUAAUAACAUAAGACGAGAAGACCCUGUGGAGCUUUAGACAGUUAACGGCCCACAGCAAACACCACCAAACAAAGCAAAGUGAACCAAUGGUGCCCGUCCCACUGUCUUCGGUUGGGGCGACCUUGGGGUAAUACACAACCCCCACAUGGAAUGAAGCAUUUACCCACCACACCUGUCAUCCAAAGUCAGAGCCAACAACUCUAGCUAACAGAACUUCUGACCCACCUUGAUCCGGCAACGCCGAUCAAUGAACCAAGUUACCCCAGGGAUAACAGCGCAAUCCCCUUAUAGAGCCCAUAUCAACAAGGGGGUUUACGACCUCGAUGUUGGAUCAGGACACCCCAAUGGUGCAACCGCUAUUAAAGGUUCGUUUGUUCAACGAUUAA
rnacentral:rRNA from 1 species